AAUGAACGCUGGCGGCAUGCCUAACACAUGCAAGUCGAACGGUAACAGGUCUUUCGGGAUGCUGACGAGUGGCGAACGGGUGAGUAAUACACCGGAACAUGCCUAGCAGUGGGGGAUAACUACUCGAAAGAGAGGCUAAUACCGCAUGAGAUCUAUGGAUGAAACCAGGGGAGCUUUGGGCCUUGUGCUACGUGAGGGGUCGACGGCAGAUUAGGUAGUUGGUGGGAUAAAAGCUUACCAAGCCUACGAUCCGUAGCUGGUCUGAGAGGACGAUCAGCCACCCUGGGACUGAGACACGGCCCAGACUCAUACGGGAGGCCGCCGUAGGGCAUUUUGGGCAAUGGGCGCAAGCCUGAUCCCGAAAUGCCGCGUGCGGGAUGAACGCCUUCGGGUUGUAAACUGCUUUUGUCCGGAACGAAAAGUCUUGGGUUUAUAACCUGGCAUCAUGACGGUACCGUAAGAAAAAGCCACGGCUAAAUACGUG
rnacentral:rRNA from 1 species